UACGUAGGGUGCGAGCGUUAAUCGGAAUUACUGGGCGUAAAGCGUGCGCAGGCGGUUAGCCGUGUCCGAUGUGAAAGCCCCGGGCUCAACCUGGGAAUGGCAUUGGAAACUGGCUGGCUGGAGUGUGGCAGAGGGGGGUGGAAUUCCGCGUGUAGAGGUGAAAUUCGUAGAUAUUCGGAAGAACACCAGUGGCGAAGGCGGCUCACUGGACCGGUAUUGACGCUGAGGUGCGAAAGCGUGGGGAGCAAACAGG
rnacentral:rRNA from 1 species